GUGGGGAAUUUUGGACAAUGGGCGCAAGCCUGAUCCAGCAAUGCCCCGUGUGUGAAGAAGGCCUUCGGGUUGUAAAGCACUUUUGUCCGGAAAGAAAUCCCCUGGGUUAAUACCUCGGGGGGCUGACGGUACCGGAAGAAUAAGCACCGGCUAACUACGUGCCAGCAGCCGCGGUAAUACGUAGGGUGCGAGCGUUAAUCGGAAUUACUGGGCGUAAAGCGUGCGCAGGCGGCUAUGCAAGACAGAUGUGAAAUCCCCGGUAUCAACCUGGGGACUGCAGUUGUGACUGCAUGGCUAGAGUGCGUCAGAGGGAGGUGGAAUUCCGCGUGUAGCAGUGAAAUGCGUAGAGAUGCGGAGGAACACCGAUGGCGAAGGCAGCCUCCUGGGAUGACACUGACGCUCAUGCACGAAAGCGUGGGGAGCAAACAGGAUUAGAUACCCUGGUAGUCC
rnacentral:rRNA from 1 species